rnacentral:rRNA from 1 species
UACGGAGGGUGCAAACGUUGCUCGGAAUCAUUGGGCGUAAAGCGCACGUAGGCGGCCGACUAAGUCGGGUGUGAAAGCCCCGGGCUCAACCCGGGAAGUGCACUCGAAACUGGCCGGCUUGAAUAUGGAAGAGGGUCGCGGAAUUCCCGGUGUAGAGGUGAAAUUCGUAGAUAUCGGGAGGAACACCAGUGGCGAAGGCGGCGACCUGGGCCAAUAUUGACGCUGAGGUGCGAAAGCGUGGGGAGCAAACAGG